AGGUACAGCCAUUGCUAUAAUUUGACAUGAAAAAGUGAUUUUUGAUGCUAAAAUAAAAUUUGAACUACAAUGCUAGAUAACGAUUUGGAGAAAAUGCAGUAUCUGAAGGCAGUGAUCAAAGAAACUCUUCGUCUGCACCCUCUAAUACCCUUGUUGGUUCCCAGAGCAGCGCAUGAAGAUGUGAAAUUAAACGCUAUGACAUUGCUGCUGGAACAAUGGUUAUAACUAAUGCCUGGCCUAUUGGAAGAGACCCUGCAACAUGGAAGGAACCAGAAAAGUUUCAGCCUGCAGAGAGGUUCUUGAAUUCCUCUAUCGAUUUUAAAGGACAAGAUUUUCAGUUGAUUCCUGCCCCAUAAUUUCUUUUGCCAUGGCUACCAAUGAAUUUCUUUCUGUUGGCAAAUCUUUUGCAUAAAUUUGACUGGAAGUUGCCUGACGGAAGAAAUGGGGAGGAUUUAGACAUGAGUGAAAGACCCCGUGCAGCGAAAAGUUCCACUUCAACUUCAUGUUGCUGCCAGUGUACCUGAAAAAAUCAAGACUAUUAGAUGAUGGUGUUGAAUUUUUAUAAAGAAGAUAGCAUCUUCACCAUUAAAAUACAUGUCUUCUGAAUUAUUGUGCUUAUCUGAUAUGUGUGAUUUCGAUAGAAUGGUGUCAGCUAAGCCAAAAUAAGUUCAGACUUCUAAAUUGUCAUCUUUUUCUUAUUUCAGACUAGGAAACCAUACACCUUUUUUCAAAGUCAAGGCCGCUGAUUAGGAAAACAAGAGAGUAAUUAUGUGCCACUAAUUGGUGAUAAGAUGUAACUUCAAACUUCUCACUCUAUUCAUCCACUAACACAUACAGAUAACAGAAAAGAAGGAAACAUAAUGGUUUUCAUACAAGGAGAAGCAAGAUUGUUGUUGCAAGAC
rnacentral:lncRNA from 1 species